UCUUAACUGGUAAAGAAUCUGCCUGCAGUGCAGGAGGCCCCGGUUCAAUUCCUGG
rnacentral:tRNA from 1 species